rnacentral:rRNA from 1 species
GAGGUUAAGCGACUAAGCGUACACGGUGGAUGCCCUGGCAGUCAGAGGCGAUGAAGGACGUGCUAAUCUGCGAUAAGCGCCGGUAAGGUGAUAUGAACCGUUAUAACCGGCGAUUUCCGAAUGGGGAAACCCAGUGUGACUCGUCACACUAUCAUUAACUGAAUCCAUAGGUUAAUGAGGCGAACCGGGGGAACUGAAACAUCUAAGUACCCCGAGGAAAAGAAAUCAACCGAGAUUCCCCCAGUAGCGGCGAGCGAACGGGGAGGAGCCCAGAGCCUGAAUCAGCAUGUGUGUUAGUGGAAGCGUCUGGAAAGGCGCGCGAUACAGGGUGACAGCCCCGUACACAAAAGCGCAUGUGCUGUGAGCUCGAUGAGUAGGGCGGGACACGUGGUAUCCUGUCUGAAUAUGGGGGGACCAUCCUCCAAGGCUAAAUACUCCUGACUGACCGAUAGUGAACCAGUACCGUGAGGGAAAGGCGAAAAGAACCCCGGCGAGGGGAGUGAAAAAGAACCUGAAACCGUGUACGUACAAGCAGUGGGAGCACCCUUUGGGGUGUGACUGCGUACCUUUUGUAUAAUGGGUCAGCGACUUAUAUUCUGUAGCAAGGUUAACCGAAUAGGGGAGCCGGAGGGAAACCGAGUCUUAAUUGGGCGUUAAGUUGCAGGGUAUAGACCCGAAACCCGGUGAUCUAGCCAUGGGCAGGUUGAAGGUUGGGUAACACUAACUGGAGGACCGAACCGACU